CAGAGACUGCAAGCGUUAUUCGGAUUCACUGGGCGUAAAGGGUGCGCAGGCGGCUAAGUGUGUUAGAUGUGAAAUCCCGGGGCCCAACCCCGGAACUGCGUCUAAAACUACUUGGCUUAGAGUAUUGGAGAGGGUAGCGGAAUUCACGGUGUAGCAGUGAAAUGCGUAGAUAUCGUGAGGAACACCAGAGGCGAAGGCGGCUACCUGGACAAUUACUGACGCUCAGGCACGAAAGCGUGGGGAGCAAAAGGGGAUUAGAUACCCCUGUAGUCCCACGCCCUAAACGGUGCACACUAGGUCUUGGCGGAUUCGACCCUCCAGGGCCCAAGCUAACGCGUUAAGUGUGCCGCCUGAGGGACUACGGCCGCAAGGCUA
rnacentral:rRNA from 1 species